AGCGAACGCUGGCGGCAUGCCUAACACAUGCAAGUCGCACGGGGGGGCUUCGGCCUCCCAGUGGCGGACGGGGGAGGAACGCGUAGGGACCUGUCGAGGGGUGGGGGAUAACCGCGGGAAACUGCGGCUAAUACCGCAUGACGCCGCGGCGUGACAGCCGGGGCCAAAGGCGAAAGCCGCCCGCCGAGGGGGCUGCGUCCGAUUAGCUGGUUGGCGGGGUAGCGGCCCACCAAGGCGUCGACCGGUAGCUGGUCUGAGAGGGUGAUCAGCCACACCGGGACUGAGACACGGCCCGGACUCCUACGGGAGGCAGCAGUGGGGAGUAUUGGACGCUGGGCGCAAGCCUGAUCCAGCAAUGCCGCGUGGGUGAAGAAGGUCUUCGGAUUGUAAAGCCCUUUCGGCGGGGACGAUGGUGACGGUACCCGCAGAAGAAGCCCCGGCUAACUUCGUG
rnacentral:rRNA from 1 species